GACGAACGCUGGCGGCGUGCUUAACACAUGCAAGUCGAACGGAAAGGCCCUGCUUUUGUGGGGUUCUCGAGUGGCGAACGGGUGAGUAACACGUGAGUAACCUGCCCUUGACUUUGGGAGAUCUUUAGGAAACUGGGGCUAAUACCGGAUAGGAUCUCUUGCUGCGUGGGGGGGGUUGGUGAGAUUCGGCCGUUGGGGAUGGACUCGCGGCUUAUCAGCUUGUUGGUGAGGUAGUGGCUUACCAAGGCUUUGACGGGUAGCCCGCCUGAGAGGGUGACCGGCCACCAUACUACUGCGAUAGGCACCAGACGCCAACCGUACGCAAUGGUGGGGAGUAUUACACAGUAGGCGGACGCCUGAGGUGACGGCGCCCCGUGCGGGAAGCCGGCCUUCGAGUUGUGAACCGAUGUCGCCUGAGCCGAGGCGUGAGUGACGGUACUGGGUCAAAAAGCACCGGCUAACUACGUG
rnacentral:rRNA from 1 species